rnacentral:misc_RNA from 1 species
AAGUCGUAACAAGGUUUCCGUAGGUGAACCUGCGGAAGGAUCAUUAACAAACCGACUGGGAUGGCACGCUAGUAGUAUGGCUAUUAGUAGUGUCAAGCCCACAUUGACUCGGGGGCAUGGUCUAGUAAAGUGGAUCAAGUCCCUAGAGACAUUUACGCUUGUUGUGUAUGACUGAGUUAUAAUGUGGCCUAAUAAAGACAACUUUUAACAAUGGAUCUCUUGGCUCUUG